rnacentral:rRNA from 1 species
UGGGGAAUCUUGCACAAUGGGCGAAAGCCUGAUGCAGCCAUGCCGCGUGAAUGAUGAAGGCCUUAGGGUUGUAAAAUUCUUUCGCCAGGGAUGAUAAUGACAGUACCUGGUAAAGAAGCCCCGGCUAACUUCGUGCCAGCAGCCGCGGUAAUACGAAGGGGGCUAGCGUUGUUCGGAAUUACUGGGCGUAAAGCGCACGUAGGCGGACUUUUAAGUCAGAUGUGAAAUCCCGGGGCUCAACCUCGGAACUGCAUUUGAAACUGGAAGUCUAGAGACCAGGAGAGGUUAGCGGAAUACCGAGUGUAGAGGUGAAAUUCGUAGAUAUUCGGUGGAACACCAGUGGCGAAGGCGGCUAACUGGACUGGUACUGACGCUGAGGUGCGAAAGUGUGGGGAGCAAACAGGAUUAGAUACCC